GGGGAACAUUCUGUUUCCGCUUCCGUUGAUGGAUCAGUGACUUCAGAAUCUGUUACAUGAUCUAGAAAAUGAAGUUACAGAACAUUCAAGAGAACCAAAUAAUGCAUUGUUGCCCGCCCCUUCCCAUCAUAGAUCAUCAGAAAUGCAGCAGAUACAACAAUCUGCACCAUGUUUGCAUAUUGACUUUGAAAGUUUUCUCAAUCUAUUUUGCCUCUAGCCUCUUUAUAUAUUUCCAGCUCUCUCGCUAAAUGACUUGAGAGCCUUCUUAUCAGUAUCUACAUCUUAAGUGUACCAAAUUCUGAAAACCCCCAUCAUAUGGAUUUUUAUAAAGAAUAGUAGUGAAGGAUCAACUAUCGAUAUAAGGUACUACGACAUGAUGUCUUGUAACAGCUACUACCUCCUCUACAUUGUUUUUAAAUUCUUUCGCGGGAAUUAAAACAUAAAUGAACCAUAUAACUCAUAGAGACAAGCAUGAAGCUCUGCUGCCCUCUGUCAUAAAAGUUUCAAAAUGAGAACCUUGUAAAUAAAACAUGAAAUAGUAAUAGCUGAAAGAACAGGCAAUUGACUUGGAGAAAAUUACCUUCUGUAAUUUCAGAUUCAUCAAUUUCGUCUUCUUCUUCUUUUUGAGCCACCGUGAUGCUCUCCAUGC
rnacentral:lncRNA from 1 species